CCUUCGGGCAAGCGGCGGACGGGUUAGUAACGCGUGGGAACGUACCCUUCUCUAAGGAAUAGCCUCGGGAAACUGAGAGUAAUACCUUAUACGCCCUUCGGGGGAAAGAUUUAUCGGGGAAGGAUCGGCCCGCGUCUGAUUAGAUAGUUGGUGGGGUAAUGGCCUACCAAGUCUACGAUCAGUAGCUGGUUUGAGAGGAUGAUCAGCAACACUGGGACUGAGACACGGCCCAGACUCCUACGGGAGGCAGCAGUGGGGAAUCUUAGACAAUGGGCGCAAGCCUGAUCUAGCGAUGCCGCGUGAGUGAUGAAGGUCUUAGGAUCGUAAAGCUCUUUCGCCAGGGAUGAUAAUGACAGUACCUGGUAAAGAAACCCCGGCUAACUCCGUGCCAGCAGCCGCGGUAAUACGGAGGGGGUUAGCGUUGUUCGGAAUUACUGGGCGUAAAGCGCGCGUAGGCGGACUAUUAAGUCGAGGGUGAAAUCCCGGGGCU
rnacentral:rRNA from 1 species